GUGCUCACCUUAGCAGCACAUGCACCAAAAUUGGAAGGAUACAGAGAUUAGCAUGACUCCAUCCAAGGAUGACAUGAAAUUUGUGAACCAGUCCACAUUUUU